CUCGAAUCCUCAGCUCCCCAUCGCAUGGCCUUCUGGCCAGAUUUUUCUUUCUUGGGCAUUUAUACUCCAGCAAGAAUUUUCAACAAUGCAUUUUCUCUCCUGGGGACUGAAUUCCUCAUUGAACAGUGAGAUUCUUGAGAGAUUUCAGUGAGUAAGCAGAGAGAAUCUGGAAUGGAAACAAGGAAGUAUGCUAAUAACUCAGAAAUCAAACUGGUUAGGGACUGCUGAACAUAGUCAUGACAUCGUAACUUUUAGGAAUAGGAAGAAUGUUAGAGGUCAAGCCCACAACUUCAGAUAUGGAGAAAAUGAGCCCCAGAAAGGAAAGUGGUUUAUGCAAGACACACAGCAAGCCAAUCUAUGACCAAAACCUCCAGUGUAAUUCAAAUGUGAUCGUCUACGAGAGAAGAGAAAAUACAAGCACUCAAGCAAGAAAUCCCUGCCCCAGAACGACUCAAGCCCCAAGACGUGAAAGCACACGCAUGUGCUGCGGUAUCAGAGGGAAAGAAUCACAGGGCACACGUCUAACUCUCCCACGCCACAGGUGGGAAAGCUGAGGCCAGGGGAGAACUCGUGGUGCUGCUCUCAUCCACUGAAGACUUGUGAGUUGCCCGGCACAGUGCUAACUGUGCACUUCAUCACGGUCCCCAGCGUUACGACCUCACAAGGCUGGCAGAGGUUUGGGAAGUGCUGGCUUAAGGAAAUUGAUACAGGUUUCCAUGCUGUUUAACUGCAGGACUUUUCAGAGCCUUGAAUAUGCUUAUGUGCAUUGUGCAUCUCCAAGAAAAUAGAGGAGAGCUGGGUUUCCCCAGUUAUUUGGGCAUGGAAACAUCUUUUUGUGAAGCAUCUCCUGGGACACAUUUCGGUUCUAGAUUUGAACCACACACGGCAUUCCAAGGGCUCUGCCAAGACAACAUGUGUUUAAAUGCCCGCCCUGCAGAGACUUUUACUACUGCCUGACUUCAUGGUUUUGGAAACCGAGGCUCGAAGAGGCACACUUUCUCCAAACUGGGCGACUUCCCACCCUCACAAUGUUCUGGUGGAAGAAGCUACAGGACUGGACGACCAUUGGAUAUUGGGCAAAGAGGAGAGGAAAGCUGACUUUGAGGUCAGCAUGCACCAAGAAGGCUUCCUGGAGGAGGUGGGUCCAUCUCCAAACACGGACCCUUUAUCAGAAUCCAAUGUAAAUAGGCAACAUCGUUAUUAUUAUUACUAGUAUGACUACCCACCGCCCCAGCGGAAAGCCUUGUGUCUGGUAGGUGUCUGUGAGCCCUAGUCAAUUUCUGGCUCAUCUGGAGUCUUUAAGUGCUCGUUUACUGAGGCGGGAGGAUCCGCAAGCCAGGUGCGUUGUCAAGUAGCCACCUUGCAGACCACAGCCCAGGCACCAGCUAGAAGAAGGUGAGCAGCCCGCACCACAGACAUCUAGCGUGGACAAGCAUGCUCCCCCUGGGGCGUUUUCACACAGCAACUCCUGAGUCUCUCACAGAACAAGCCAGUGAGCAGCAGUGUCACUCAAGCCUUGUUGGGGGAGUAGGGGGUACUGGGGGGAGAACCACGUCCUGGCCCAGGUUCCAGCCGCUGGUCUGCCCCCAGCAGGGCUAUGUAGACAAGGCAGGCUGGUCUGUCAGCUUUGAG
rnacentral:lncRNA from 1 species